CAAACUGGGACAUACCAACAGAGAAGUAGCAUAAGUGACAAGGUACAGAGCUAAACAAACCAUGGCAUAUUGUUAUGGAACAGAAAGUGCUGAUCACGAAACAGAUUCAGUCGACUUGUCCUUAUGUGAAGGACAGCCAGAAAGCCUGGAGACCACCCAACAAAGUGACUUCUUCCGCGACACGGACAUGGCAGAGGAGAAAAUGGAAGUAGACUGGGAGCUGCUGUCGAGUGCAACCACCCAAGAGAACAGCAUCCUGAAAAGAUCCAACAGCGCACCUUUGAUCUGUGGGCUCUGUGAUGAUUCACAAGUGUUGCAUGCUGAAUCAUUAAGAACUAGAAGAAAUAGUGCGACAUUUGUGACACCACCCUAUCCGUUUUUUCCACCUUCUCCCUUUCGGACUUCCAUUAGUCGUCUUCAUCAAAUCAAACAGGAAGAAGGCAUGGAUUUAGUAAAUAGAGAAGCAGCGCAUGAGUGGGAGGUACAAGCAUCAAUACAUAUAAGUCAGUCUUGGGAAGAAAAUUUGAACCUGAAUGACCAUGAUUUAGAGCAACCAUCUGCUAACGUUGCUGAUUUACAUCCAAUAUCCCCAGCUUCCAUCAGUGGGAUUGGGAAGCAGUGUUUUUCUCCAUCAAUACAAACUUGUGUGAGUUGCUUCAGUUUGCCUUCAAGUCCUAUUCCCAGUCCUACGCGACAGUUUACAAUAAAAAGAAGUAAAAGUCCCACCAACAUUCUCAGGCCAAGCAUCCUUGGACCAUUAAAAAGAAAAGGUGAAAUGGUAUUUGAAGAUCAGCCGAAGAGAUCUUUCCCAGGCAUGACCAACAUGUCUUCUGAAACUACCCAACAACAUUCCCAAGAUAGGAAUGUGUAUAGGCAGAUUUUCAACUAAGAUUCACCCAUCCCAGGGCUUUCUCACUAAUGGAGAGACACACAUGCACGUGCAUAUGCACACACGUCGGAGCAGUAACAAAAUGGAAUGGGGAAGCCUGAGGAGAGCGAGAGAGAUCAGGCAACUGCUGGCCGGUAGAACAGUCAGUACACACACAACAUUCACUGACUGAGUUUACCAUCUUAUGGAGAAGAGCUGGCUCAGUUAGAUAUAGAAUCUUCCCAGUCUGCUCAAAGGAUCAAGUAGCUCCAUCUGACACAUCAGUUCUGCAGCUUAAAAUAAAGAAAAGG